rnacentral:ncRNA from 1 species
AGAAACGUGAAGAACAGGAACAGUAAGGAUCUCCGGAAUCAAGAGAGCUGCGGGACGGUGCGACGCAGUGGAAAGAGACCUGAAACUCGCCUGGGAGCGGAACGUUGGAACACAGCGCAUGAUGCGCUGGCCGGAUGUUGUCCGGUAUUACAUCGUUACGGUUAGCCACCGUCAGAAGGCCCGGCAUACGCAGUCCAUAAAUAUGGAUGUGACGUAUGGCGACGGAGGGGGCUUGCUUAGGACCGAUAAUAUGAUCGGUAAAUCCGGCAAGUCAACAAGAGUGGUACCGCGAUAGGCAAGCCUGUCGUCUCUUGA